rnacentral:rRNA from 1 species
UACGUAGGCAGCAAGCGUUGUUCGGAGUUACUGGGCGUAAAGAGCUCGUAGGUGGUUUGUCGCGUUGUUCGUGAAAACCGGGGGCUUAACCCUCGGCGUGCGGGCGAUACGGGGCAGACUGGAGUACUGCAGGGGAGACUGGAAUUCCUGGUGUAGCGGUGGAAUGCGCAGAUAUCAGGAGGAACACCGGUGGCGAAGGCGGGUCUCUGGGCAGUAACUGACGCUGAGGAGCGAAAGCGUGGGGGAGCAAACAGG